rnacentral:rRNA from 1 species
CCUACGGGGGGCAGCAGUGGGGAAUAUUGGGCAAUGGGCGCAAGCCUGACCCAGCAACGCCACGUGAAGGAAGAAGGCUUUCGGGUUGUAAACUUCUUUUGACAGGGAAGAGCAGAAGACGGUACCUGUCGAAUAAGCCACGGCUAACUACGUGCCAGCAGCCGCGGUAAUACGUAGGUGGCAAGCGUUGUCCGGAUUUACUGGGUGUAAAGGGCGUGUAGCCGGGCUGACAAGUCAGAUGUGAAAUCCGGGGGCUCAACCCCCGAACUGCAUUUGAAACUGUUGGUCUUGAGUAUCGGAGAGGCAGGCGGAAUUCCUAGUGUAGCGGUGAAAUGCGUAGAUAUUAGGAGGAACACCAGUGGCGAAGGCAGCCUGCUGGACGACAACUGACGGUGAGGCGCGAAAGCGUGGGGAGCAAACAGGAUUAGAUACCCCAGUAGUC